AAUAAGUGCAGCAAUAAGUUUUCGCGACCAACUUUGAUCGUUCGUCUUAUUUAAAUUUUUUUUAUAAUUAACAUUUUUUUGUUAUGAGAUGAUAAAACAAGAAUAGUACUUUAUUCGUGGCUUAUGUUUUCAAAUUUUUUCAAAAAAUUUUCAGAUAAGACAAACGGUCAAAGUUGGGCGCGGAAAACCAUGGCUGCACUUAUU
rfam:Oryza barthii chromosome 3, whole genome shotgun sequence.